GACGAACGCUGGCGGCGUGCUUAACACAUGCAAGUCGAACGAUGAAGCUAGAGCUUGCUCUGGUGAAUUAGUGGCGAACGGGUGAGUAACACGUGAGUAACCUGCCCCGAACUCUGGGAUAACUGCUGGAAACGGUAGCUAAUACUGGAUACGACCUACGAAGGCAUCUUCUGUAGGUGGAAAGAAUUUCGGUUCGGGAUGGACUCGCGGCCUAUCAGCUUGUUGGUGAGGUAAUGGCUCACCAAGGCGACGGCGGGUAGCCGGCCUGAGAGGGGGACCGGGCACACUGGGACUGAGACACGGCCCAGACUCCUACGGGAGGCAGCAGUGGGGAAUAUUGCACAAUGGGCGCAAGCCUGAUGCAGCAACGCCGCGUGAGGGAUGACGGCCUUCGGGUUGUAAACCUCUUUUAGUAGGGAAGAAGCGAAAGUGACGGUACCUGCAGAAAAAGCACCGGCUAACUACGUGCCAGCCGCCGCCGUAA
rnacentral:rRNA from 1 species